rnacentral:tRNA from 1 species
GGCGUGUUGGCAGAGUGGUUAUGCACCGGAUUGCAAAUCCGGAAAGAGUGGUUCGAGUCCGCUACACGCCU